GCUUCAAGGAAGCCAUGCAGCUGCUGGAAGACUACAAGCAGGGCUCGCUGCCCCCGGGAACCACCAACCAAGAGCUUUGGAGAGCACAGAAAAUAAAACAGGCCAUCAUCCAUCCGGACACGAACGAGACCAUCUUCAUGCCUUUCCGAAUGUCAGGUUACAUUCCUUUUGGCACGCCUAUUGUAAGUGUGAAAGCCUUCCACCUUCGUUCUGCGUAGCAAGAAAUGCCUUUCUUAGUUUUGA